AGUGAACGCUGGCGGUAGGCCUAACACAUGCAAGUCGAACGGCAGCACAGUAAGAGCUUGCUCUUACGGGUGGCGAGUGGCGGACGGGUGAGGAAUACAUCGGAAUCUACUUUUUCGUGGGGGAUAACGUAGGGAAACUUACGCUAAUACCGCAUACGACCUACGGGUGAAAGCAGGGGAUCUUCGGACCUUGCGCGAUUGAAUGAGCCGAUGUUGGAUUAGCUAGUUGGCGGGGUAAAGGCCCACCAAGGCGACGAUCCGUAGCUGGUCUGAGAGGAUGGUCAGCCACACUGGAACUGAGACACGGUCCAGACUCCUACGGGAGGCAGCAGUGGGGAAUAUUGGACAAUGGGCGCAAGCCUGAUCCAGCCAUACCGCGUGGGUGAAGAAGGCCUUCGGGUUGUAAAGCCCUUUUGUUGGGAAAGAAAAGCAGCAGGUUAAUACCCCGCUGUUCUGACGGUACCCAAAGAAUAAGCACCGGCUAACUUCGUG
rnacentral:rRNA from 1 species